rnacentral:rRNA from 1 species
GAUGAACGCUAGCGGGAGGCCUAACACAUGCAAGCCGAGCGGUAUUGUUUCUUCGGAAAUGAGAGAGCGGCGUACGGUGCGGAACACGUGUGCAACCUGCCUUUAUCUGGGGGAUAGCCUUUCGAAAGGAAGAUUAAUACUCCAUAACAUAUUGAACGGCAUCGUUUAAUAUUGAAAGCUCAGGCGGAUAGAGAUGGGCACGCGCAAGAUUAGCUAGUUGGUGAGGUAACGGCUCACCAAGGCAAUGAUCUUUAGGGGCCUGAGAGGUGAUCCCCACACUGGUACUGAGACACGGACCAGACUCCUACGGGAGGCAGCAGUGAGGAAUA